rnacentral:snoRNA from 1 species
GUGAUGAGUAAGGCUGGGAUUGCUGAAAGCUGUUUUGAGAUGGAGCGUGAUGAGCAGGGCUGA